UUCUCUUUGGAAAAUAAAGUAGUCACAGGCAAAUAUGGGAGAAAAUGGGUUUAAAAACACAAUCCGAGAUGCAAAUGCAGUCACAGAACAUGCCCCAUUGGCUCAGGCCAGAAGAAACUGGAGUCAGGAAAAGAGGCCGGCAGACUCAGAGUCCCAGGAAGCCAAUGGCGCCUUGGAGGCUCUUGGGAGGAUGGAGCGAGAGAGCUGGUGCUUUGAGGCAACGGGAAGCAGGAUCUUUGCAUUUGAGUCUCAUGCCAGCAUUGCUGAGCCCUGGCUCAGUCCCCAGCUGUGAGAUGGGGGUGGGUCUUGCACAGAGUGACAGUCUUGGGACUUCUGCACUUUAGGGCUGAAGAUAUCGUAUGGAUUCUCUAGUGGGACCACUUGAUUUUCUAACAGGGACUUCAAGACCCAGAGAAGGGCUGUGACUUUGCAGAUGUUAUAGAGCUUUGUCCUCAUGUUAAAGCCAGGACUAGAAGCCAGGUCUCCUGACUCCUGAUGCAGUGCAGUACAGAGGGUGUACAUCUGUUCAAUGAUCUACAUCCUCAUUGGAUGGAGAUUUCCAUGUCUUAAGACCCAGAAAAUGCAGUUUCUAACAGUGAAGCUGGGAUUAUUCCUGAGCUUGUCACCUCGGAGCCAUCUGAAUCCUGUGUGAUCUUCUCACCUGAUCUAAUAAGAAUAGUGACUGAGUUCAGACCGG
rnacentral:lncRNA from 1 species